rnacentral:rRNA from 1 species
GAUUAUGGCUCAGGAUAAACGCCGGCGGCGUGCCUAAUACAUGCAAGUCGAACGAGGGGAGCAAUCCCCGAGUGGCGUACGGGUGAGUAACACGUUGGUAACCUGCCCUCCGGACCGGAAUACCAGGCGGAAACGCCUGCUAAUGCCGGAUGAAGCCGCAGAGGCGAAAGCCUCCGCGAUGAAAGGCGGCCUCAAAGCCGCGCCGGGGGAUGGACCUGCGUCGCAUUAGCUAGUUGGCGGGAUAAAGGCCCACCAA